UUUCCGUAGGUGAACCUGCGGAAGGAUCAUUCGUAAUAAGUGUUUUAUGGCACUUUUUUAAAUCCAUAUCCACCUUGUGUGCAAUGUCAGGGUUGAUUCUUCUCUCGAGAGGAUCAGCCCCAAACAUCAACUAUAUCUCAACUCUUUGUCUGAAAAUAUUAUGAAUAAAACAAUUCAAAAUACAACUUUCAACAACGGAUCUCUUGGCUCUC
rnacentral:misc_RNA from 1 species